rnacentral:lncRNA from 1 species
GUUUGGCUCAAAUUGCACCAAAAUGUGCCCAAAAACAAGUCCAGAGUUUUCAAAUCGCACCAAAUUCCACCAAAAUGUGCCCAAAAAUGAGCCCGGGAUCACUUGUUUGGCUCAAAUUGCACCAAAUUUUGCCAAAAUAAGCCCAAAAAAGAGACUGGAGCUGCUUGUUUGGCUCGAAAUGCACCAAAUUCCACUAAAAUGAGCCCAAAAAUAAGCCCAGACUUACUUGUUUUGGUCGAAUUGCACCAAAUUCCUCCAAUCACCCUAAAACCCCCCUAAAAUCCCACCAGAAUUUUCCCAAAUUUUCUGAAAUUUUCCCAAAUUUUCUCCAAAUCUCCCAAAUUUCCCCAAAUCUCUAAAAUCCCUCUUUUUCACCCCAGAAAUCUCCCCAAUCCCCCCCUAAAAAUUCUCAAUAUGGUCUUUAAUCCUCCCAAAAUCCUCCAAUCACCCUAAAACCCCCCUAAAAUCCCACCUGAAUUUUUCCAAAUUUUCCUCGAAUUUUCCCUAAAUUUCCCAAAUCCUCUCAAAUUCCCAAAAUUUGUCUUUUUCGCCCCAAAAAUCUCCCCAAUUCCCCCUGAAAAAUUCCCAGUUCAUCCCUCAUCCCCCACAAAUCCUCCAAUCGCCCUAAAACCCCCUUAAAAUCCCACUCAAACUUUCUGAAUUUUUCCCAGAUUUUCUCCAAAUCUCCCCAAUUUUCCCAAAUGUCUAAAAUCCCCCUUUUUCACCCCAAAAAACCCCCCCUGAAAUCCCAUCCAAAUUUUCCCAAAUCUUCCCCAAAUCUCCCCAAAUCCUCCCGAAUUCCCAAAAUCCCCGUUUUUGACCCCAAAUUUUUCCCCACUUUCCCCCUAAAGAUUCCCAGUAUGUUCCUAAUCCCCCCCAAAUCCUCCUAAAUCCCCCCAAAUCCUCCAAUCACACUAAAACCCUCUAAAAUCCCACCUAAAUUUUCCCAAAUUUUCCCAAAUCUUCCCCAAAUCCCCCCGAAUUCCCAAAAUCCCUUUUUUUCACCCCAAAAAUCUCCUCAAUCCCCCCAAAAAAAUUCCCAGUUCAUCCCUAAUCCCCCCCAAAUCCUCCAAUCGCCCUAAAACCCCCCCAAAAUCCCACCUCAAUUUUUCCGGAUUUUCCCAAAUCUUCCCCAAAUUUCCCCCAAAACUAACCUUCUUUCCCUCUCCCCCCCCUCCGCAGCCGCCGCUUCGGCCACAGCAAGAGCCCCCUGUACCGGGAGAAGAGCCCCGUCCGGGAGGCGCUGGGCAGCCUGAGCCCCGAGGAGCGGGACGCCCGCACGGUCUUCUGCAUGCAGCUGGCCGCCCGCAUCCGCCCCCGCGACCUGGAGGACUUCUUCUCGGCCGUGGGCAAGGUACGUGGGG